UACGAAGGGGGCUAGCGUUGCUCGGAAUCACUGGGCGUAAAGGGUGCGUAGGCGGGUCUUUAAGUCAGGGGUGAAAUCCUGGAGCCCAACUCCAGAACUGCCUUUGAUACUGAAGAUCUUGAGUUCGGGAGAGGUGAGUGGAACUGCGAGUGUAGAGGUGAAAUUCGUAGAUAUUCGCAAGAACACCAGUGGCGAAGGCGGCUCACUGGCCCGACACUGACGCUGAGGCACGAAAGCGUGGGGAGCAAACAGG
rnacentral:rRNA from 1 species